ACUUUAUUUGAUUUCCUUCGGGACUGAUUAUUUUGUGACUGAGUGGCGGACGGGUGAGUAACGCGUGGGUAACCUGCCUCAUACAGGGGGAUAAUCAUGUGAAAACGUGACUAAUACCGCAUAAGACCACAGCACCGCAUGGUGCAGGGGUAAAAACUCCGGUGGUAUGAGAUGGACCCGCGUCUGAUUAGUUAGUUGGUGGGGUAACGGCCUACCAAGGCGACGAUCAGUAGCCGACCUGAGAGGGUGACCGGCCACAUUGGGACUGAGACACGGCCCAAACUCC
rnacentral:rRNA from 1 species